rnacentral:rRNA from 1 species
CAGGUAGGUGGUUUGAUAAGUCUGUUGUGAAAGCUCCCGGCUCAACUGGGAGAGGCCAACAGAAACUAUCAGGCUUGAGUAUGGGAGAGGGUACUGGAAUUCCCGGUGUAGCGGUGAAAUGCGCAGAGAUCGGGAGGAACACCAAUGGCGAAAGCAGGUACCUGGACCAUUACUGACACUCAACUGCGAAAGCUAGGGGAGCAAACAGGAUUAGAUACCCUGGUAGUCCUAGCUGUAAACGAUGCACAUUAGACGUGAGGGGUAUCGACCCCCUUCGUGUCGACGCUAACGCAUUAAAUGUGCCGCCUGGGGAGUACGGCCGCAAGGUUGAA